rnacentral:rRNA from 1 species
AGAGUUUGAUCCUGGCUCAGAUUGAACGCUGAUGCCUUACACAUGCAAGUCGAACGGCAGCACGGGUGCUUGCACCUGGUGGCGAGUGGCGAACGGGUGAGUAAUAUAUCGGAACGUACCUUAUUGUGGGGGAUAACGCAGCGAAAGCUGUGCUAAUACCGCAUAAUCCCUAAGGGGGAAAGCGGGGGACCGUAAGGCCUCGCGCAAUUAGAGCGGCCGAUACCUGAUUAGCUAGUUGGUGAGGUAAAGGCUCACCAAGGCAACGAUCAGUAGCUGGUCUGAGAGGACGAUCAGCCACACUGGGACUGAGACACGGCCCAGACUCCUACGGGAGGCAGCAGUGGGGAAUUUUGGACAAUGGGGGCAACCCUGAUCCAGCAAUGCCGCGUGAGUGAAGAAGGCCUUCGGGUUGUAAAGCUCUUUUGUCAGGGAAGAAACAGCAGCUCUAACACAGUUUGCGAAUGACGGUACCUGAAGAAUAAGCACCGGCUAACUACGUGCCAGCAGCCGCGGUAAUACGUAGGGUGCAAGCGUUAAUCGGAAUUACUGGGCGUAAAGCGUGCGCAGGCGGUUAUGUAAGACAGGCGUGAAAUCCCCGGGCUUAACCUGGGAAUUGCGCUUGUGACUGCAUAGCUAGAGUAUGUCAGAGGGGGGUAGAAUUCCACGUGUAGCAGUGAAAUGCGUAGAGAUGUGGAGGAAUACCAAUGGCGAAGGCAGCCCCCUGGGAUAAUACUGACGCUCAUGCACGAAAGCGUGGGGAGCAAACAGGAUUAGAUACCCUGGUAGUCCACGCCCUAAACGAUGCUGACUAGUUGUUCGGGAAUUUAUUCCUGAGUAACGUAGCUAACGCGUGAAGUCAGCCGCCUGGGGAGUACGGUCGCAAGAUUAAAACUCAAAGGAAUUGACGGGGACCCGCACAAGCGGUGAUGAUGUGGAUUAAUUCGAUGCAACGCGAAAA